rnacentral:rRNA from 1 species
GAUGAACGCUAGCGGGAGGCCUAAUACAUGCAAGUCGAACGGUAACAGGGUAGCAAUACCGCUGACGAGUGGCGCACGGGUGAGUAACACGUACACAACCUGCCUUAUACUGGGGGAUAGCCCUGGGAAACUAGGAUUAAUACCCCAUAAUAUAUUGAAAAGGCAUCUUUUUAAUAUUAAAACUCCGGUGGUAUAAGAUGGGUGUGCGUCUGAUUAGCUAGUUGGCGAGGUAACGGCUCACCAAGGCAACGAUCAGUAACUGGUCUGAGAGGAUGAUCAGUCACACGGGCACUGAGACACGGGCCCGACUCCUACGGGAGGCAGCAGUAGGGAAUAUUGGACAAUGGGCGCAAGCCUGAUCCAGCCAUCCCGCGUGAAGGAUUAAGGCCCUCUGGGUUGUAAACUUCUUUUUUUUGGGAAUAAAAACCGGAAUUCAUUUCGGCUUGAAGGUACCAGAAGAAUAAGCACCGGCUAACUCCGUGCCAGCCGCCGCCGUAAAAC